rnacentral:rRNA from 1 species
GAUGAACGCUGGCGGCGUGCCUAAUACAUGCAAGUCGAGCGAAUGGAUUAAGAGCUUGCUCUUAUGAAGUUAGCGGCGGACGGGUGAGUAACACGUGGGUAACCUGCCCAUAAGACUGGGAUAACUCCGGGAAACCGGGGCUAAUACCGGAUAACAUUUUGAACUGCAUGGUUCGAAAUUGAAAGGCGGCUUCGGCUGUCACUUAUGGAUGGACCCGCGUCGCAUUAGCUAGUUGGUGAGGUAACGGCUCACCAAGGCAACGAUGCGUAGCCGACCAGAGAGGGUGAUCGGCCACACUGGGACUGGGACACGGCCCAGACUCCUACGGGAGGCAGCAGUAGGGAAUCUUCCGCAAUGGACGAAAGUCUGACGGAGCAACGCCGCGUGAGUGAUGAAGGCUUUCGGGUCGUAAAACUCUGUUGUUAGGGAAGAACAAGUGCUAGUUGAAUAAGCUGGCACCUUGACGGUACCUAACCAGAAAGCCACGGCUAACUACGUGCCAGCCGCCGCAGUAACAC